CAUACCUAUUCGAAGGGAUAGGGUCGGUUUGGCCGGAUUCCACACGGGUGUUGCAUGGCUGUCGUCAGCUCGUGUCGUGAGAUGUUGGGUUAAGUCCCGCAACGAGCGCAACCCUCAUCCUUAGUUACCAUCAGGUUAUGCUGGGGACUUUAAGGAAACUGCCAGUGAUAAACUGGAGGAAGGUGGGGAUGAUGUCAAGUCAUCAUGGCCCUUAUGGAGUGGGCUACACACGUGCUACAAUGGUGAUUACAAUGGGCUGCAAGGUCGCAAGGCUGAGCUAAUCCUAAAAAAUCAUCUCAGUUCGGAUUGUUCUCUGCAACUCGAGAGCAUGAAGUUGGAAUCGCUAGUAAUCGUGGAUCAGCAUGCCACGGUGAAUACGUUCUCGGGUCUUGUACACACUGCCCGUCACGCCAUGGGAAUUGGUUUCACUCGAAGCU
rnacentral:rRNA from 1 species